UUGAACGCUGGCGGCAUGCCUUACACCUGCAAGUCGCACGGUAACAGGUCUUCGGAUGCUGACGAGUGGCGAACGGGUGAGUAAUACAUCGGAACGUGCCCAGACGUGGGGGAUAACGAGGCGAAAGCUUUGCUAAUACCGCAUACGAUCUAAGGAUGAAAGCAGGGGACCGCAAGGCCUUGUGCGUUUGGAGCGGCCGAUGGCAGAUUAGGUAGUUGGUGGGAUAAAAGCUUACCAAGCCGACGAUCUGUAGCUGGUCUGAGAGGACGACCAGCCACACUGGGACUGAGACAUGGCCCAGACUCCUACGGGAGGCAGCAGUGGGGAAUUUUGGACAAUGGGCGAAAGCCUGAUCCAGCAAUGCCGCGUGCAGGAUGAAGGCCUUCGGGUUGUAAACUGCUUUUGUACGGAACGAAAAGGCUCUGGCUAAUACCUGGGGCACAUGACGGUACCGUAAGAAUAAGCACCGGCUAACUACGUG
rnacentral:rRNA from 1 species